GCCUGCCCCUCCGGGAUGCUGGUGUGCAAGUCUGGGCACAAGGCAGGGUAGAGCGGGGACCGCUGCCCCCCGGAUCUGCCCCUGCGAGCCCGGGCCCGGGGCCUCAGCCAGCUGCGUCCCCCCCGCUCCCCCUCCCCGCCCUGUGUGUUCAAGCGAAGUGGAAAGUCCCAAGUUCGCAGCUCAACUUCCGCUUUUGCCUCCUCGUGUCGCAGCGCGAUCGGCUCCUGCCCCUGCCCCACCGCCUCAGCCCCUGGACCGGGGUGAGGGUCCUGCCCGGACCCCCGUUCCGCAGCGGGGCCGUGCGGAGCAGCCGGGGGCGCGGUGGCUGCAUGGGGCAGAGAGCGGCGCGGAGCCCGCAGGACCAUGACGCUGACUUUUCUCGUGUUCUUGGUAAUAAGAGCAGUUCCCUCAGAAGCUGUGGUGUGCAGUCCAGGAGAGUACGCAGUACAUGGCGAGUGCUGCCCUAUGUGCAGUCCAGGUCAGCGAGUACAGAAACAUUGCAACAAUUUCUCCUCCACAAGCUGUAUUCCUUGCGUCAGGAACACAUUCAGAGACCAUCCCAAUGGCUUAGAAGAGUGCAGAAGAUGUAAAAUUUGUGAUGAAGAACUCAAACUGAUAAUAAAAGAAAAAUGUACGUACACAAGAAACACAGUGUGUGGCUGAAGAGAGGGGUAUUUCUGCCGUGACUUUCACGAUGAGGACUGCGAAAUGUGCCAACAACGCACCAUCUGCCCCCCUGGCUUUCGGGUGUCCAGUCCAGGUACAGUGACCAGUGACCACGUAUGUGAGAUCUGUCCUAAGGGAACCUUCUCAGCAGCAAAUAUGUCAAUGGUCUGCACACCAUGGACCAGGUGCGAAGACAGUGGUAUGGUUGAAGUAAAGGCUGGGACGUCUGCUUCAGAUGCAGGUUGUGGAAGAGGCAGAGAUGCUGUGACAACUGGAGCAGUUACUGGUCUUAUUAUACUUGUCUUGCUGUCGAUACCCGUAGCAGUGUUCCUUUACUGGCAAGAAAAAAAGAAGAGGAAACAGUAUGAGCCACAAAAUUCGGAGAAAAAGGGGAUUGGACCAGAGGACCCUUGAGGUCCCUUCCAACACUGGUUCGUUGCAAUGGAGCACUGUGCAUGCCUUGUCAGACGUGGGGCUAGUGGUCCAAAUGGAGACAUGACUUGCAUCUCAGGACGUGACCCUGAAAUUCUGGACUGGCACAGAAAAUGUGGGAUGCAUGACCUAACUUGGUCUGUGCAUAGACAGGGAUUUGCCUUCUGAUAUUUGAGAAGUGCUGAGGUCCUGGAAUGAGGGAUGCCCAUGGAGUGUGGAGAACUGCGAUUAUUCAGUGUCAGGGGUGUCCUAGUUCCAAGGGGCAAAUUGCAUUGGUGUCUAGGCUGGAGUGGAGCUUGGCCAUGAAUGGCUAUGCCACCUUUGAAUCCCACAGUAGACCUGGAUGUUCAAAGUCUCUCUUAUGUUUCAUUUUUAAAGGGCCUUGAGAAAGGUGAGGAAGCACUGGUGCUGGUGCCAGAGAAUGGGCGAGAGAUAGCUAUAGGCAUUCAGGAAACCGCCUCACACCCUGGAGUGCUAGGCCUCUGACCUGACACAGGCAAGAUCAGUUGAUGGAGGAAAGCUGUUGGAAAAGGGGAAGAACGAAGACCUCUUAGCCAAGCCUGCAAGCCGUAUGUGUGCAGUCCUGGGGAAUAGCCACCAGCCUAGCUCCUGUGAAUGCAGCAUAGGCUUAUUUGGAUAAGGCCCAACAAGGAAGAACUGAGAAUGCAUCCAGCCCAGUUCAGGAACAGGAUGGUUUUCAGACUCCCUCCCUGCUGCAUUCCAGUAUCCUCCCCCUCUGGCAAGGGGGGUUAAUUGAGCUGCAUCUGGAGUAGCACGAUAGGAGCAUUGUAGUGGGAGACACCAACUGUACGACCAUCCUGCAGCACUCAAAUGUCUGAAGUCACACAGAGCUUCCUCACCAUCACCCAGCCUGUCGAUGCCACACCCAAGGAGGGACAACUACGGAUGUGCAACGAGAGGCUGAAGAAAAUACCUGACCGCAGGUCUGCGAAGGCCCCUGUGGGGAGGGCAGCAGGACAGAGAGACCCAGAUCCUUGCCCCACUCUGGAGGGGAGAGGGCCUACAAUAUGUACAUUACAGCAGCCGAGUCCUUCCCACCAGGGGAUGAGGAAGCAAGGCAAAGGUGGCCUCAGACUAGGCAAGACCUGCUGCAGUGUUAGUUACACAAAGGCACAUGUACAGUGAAAGAUUUUGUCAAAUACAUUAAACGAACACAAGCAUGUGUAUCAAAAUGGUCCAACAUGGUGUAUAAAUAUAAGAAGAAGAAGAAUGGGAUGCAGUCUCCUUUUCCAUGUAAAAUCAGUAUCCUGAUUAUCGCCAUUUCUAUUAUGAACUCUCCCAGUGGACACAGUGCCAAGUUUGAGGACUGGUGUUUUUGAACACUGGGCUUCAUUCCAUACCUACACUUAUAUUCUCAAUGGGUUUUUUGUCACUUCUGUGUGGUAAUCUCCCAAGCAUGUGUCGUGUUAGACUCUGACACCACAAAGAGCUUCUGGUAUCCAGAAAUUUUGAGUCAUAUCCUGUAUUCACCCACCCAUUGAUCCCUCAACCUGUUUCUUAGUUCUGCCACAUUGAACUAACUGAUCUUCAGGUUGCCUCAAAGUGGUUGAUGGAUGUAGUGUUAAUAUUGUAAUAAACAAGGACAGGUUUUUAUACAACCAGUACUAAUUCUGAGUACUUUUCCUGACAAUACAUCUGCAUGUACUUUUCCUUACAAUACAUCUGUCACUUGAUAAGCACCUUUUAUCUAAGUCUCUUCUAGGUUUAAUAUACACAGAGAAUCUCUCAGGUAGGAAGUCUGUCUGGAAAUAAAGUUGAACCCUGUGGGUAGUAGCCCCAUUCUCCGCAUAGAACAACUGUCCUGUUGCAGGGGACCAGUUUAUUAUAAAGAGCUUUCAUUAGUUUGUAGACAAAGGGGUUCUUGACUGAGAGACAAGAUUACAGGGGAAGGCAUUGGUGUUAAUGUGUGACAUCCUGGGAGGUGCUGAUAUUGAAGAACGGGGAAGAGGCUUUUCAGCGCAGCCUGGGGAAGAGUGGAAGCAAGUGCCGGGUGGUGGAGAAGCAGUUGGAGGGGUGAUCCCUGCUGGCCUGGGUGGAAGCCUGGAGGGUAAUGCCAUCAUCUUGUGAGCUACGUGAGCAGGUAGGGAGGUAAAGUAGAGGCCCAGCUCUGCUCUGCUGGCAGGCUCAUGAACUGGGAGGAACAGCUGUGUUUUGCAUGUGCUUUCAUGCUGGCCUGCACUGUGUAUCCAAAUCUGCUGCAGAUCAGAGCCCCAGUGCAUUGCUAGAUCUGAGUCCCAACAUUUGGACCAGGCCUAUGGGCUGGCCCCUGGUGUAGGAGUAGGGCCUGGUGUGGCACAGGAUUUCCUCUGUGUGGUGGUGUCUAGGCCUGAGCUUUUGCUUCUGACUGCCGAAAGCCCAUCUGCUAACACAGAACUGUGUGUUAUUAGUGUUUGUAAAGGACUUGACCAUCCUCAGAGGAAAAGUGUUUGAGGGAUGUGAAAUAUGAACUCUAAACAUAACAGCAGCUGCUUCAGUAUCACAGGGCUGAGUGCUGAGAGCAGGGUUGUGGGAGUCCUGAAGGGGUGCUCUGGCCUCUGCGGUGCCUUUUUCCUGGUGCGUCAUCUGGGGUAAACUAUAUGACUGCUUCCUGUGAGUAAAAUGAUGCAAUACAAAUGUUAUCAAUCAUUUUGCAAGAGUCUGCUCCUUCCUGUCUUAGGGGUUGUGCUGCUGGUUGUGCUUCGAGGGGGAGCCUGGGAAAAGGGGUUGUAAGAGAGCGCUCAGCUUUGGGAGUUGCAGCUUUGAGGCUGUGUGCGUGGGGGGCGGGGGUAGGCACAACUGUGGUGGGUUCUUGGUUUUUUUUACAUGACAUCGUCCUACUAAAGACAUUGCAGUAGGAACGAUUGCUAUUUUGGGCUGUAUCUAGGAAGUGGUUUACAGCGUGCAGAAGAGAAAUGAAAGCAAAAUGUUAUUUGCUGCUGUUCUGAGGUUUCCUGCUAGCAAAUGAGCCACAUAGAAAGUGGGUCUUGAGAGUUGGGACCAAGUAGGUGGGAAGUUGCUGAGAAUUUGGGCUUGCACGGCUCCAUGAAAAUCAGUUCAUGCUUGUGAAGGGUUCUGUGCUAUGUCUGGGCCAGCGCUUUCCAAAGGGAAGAAUGAAAACAACCCUGGGCCUGUAAAAUUUCUGUAUCCGGCUGAGUUGAAGCAACAGCAUUUGAAGCCCUUUGUGUGUUGUUUGAGUUGCGCUCUUAAGGCGUUUGAGUACUGGCUUUAGUGAUGAUCGCUGGCAAGUGAUGCUGCUAGAAAUGAUUCCCUUUUAUACAGUUUGAGCUGUAUUUCCAUCCGCCCCGUCAUACAAACACUGCAGCCCAAACAGGGCAAGCACAGCUACCCAGCCCAAGGCUCAGGUACCCCAUCAGUCAGCCCCCCCGUCUUUUUGGCCAAUGAGUGCUGCCCAAUCAGGCAGUAGGACUCCCAUUAUCCAGACAAAGGCACAUCCUUGGGGAAAAAAAGGACCCUUAGCCGUGACAAGCCUACUCAGCAAUAGCCAUCCUUUGCCAAAUUGCUUGCUACCUCUGUCUGCUGUGAUGCACCUUGAGACCAACUUCUCUUACUCCAGCCUUGGCCAGUAGAUCCUGCAACACAUCUUGCGCAAGGCCACAGUGUCCCAUGCCUCCAGACUCCUCCCUGAAUGUAGCAAUAGUAUAGCGAUGACAGCUCCUUUCAAUCCCUCCUAGUCUAAACUGACACAACUUUGACUUGGACUGGCAUCUUGCUUUAACUUAAAAAGCCUUUCUCCCUUUCUGGUAUUUACUCAUGAAUACACUUAGAAGGAACCCUCAAUAUCCCCUUUCAGCCUUCAGCUGGCUAGGCUAAACAAGCCAAACUGGCUGAAUCCAUUGCCUCAAACACCAUUGGAGCUGUUUUUUGCAUCUGUUCUAGUUUGAAUUCAUGCUUUUUGGUCCUAGGUGACCAGAACUGGCCACAAUAUUUUCAAUGGGAUUUUACAAAUACGUUGAAGAAUGGUGCAAAUACUUCCCAGUCUCUUCUGAAUGUACCUCAUGAGAUGCAUUUCCGAGUAGCCUUUUGCACAGCUGCAUCCCUUUGGUAGGUAAUGGUCCUCCCAUGAGCAAGCAGUAUACCCGUGCAGCAAAACCCCAGUUUUUGUUUUAUUUGUAAAAUGCUUUGCAUGCCCUUCCCCAACCAUUUCUGAGCUCUUCUCUGCCCUCUCUAUCCCUUAUAAGUGAUUACAAGAAGUAUUAGGUAAGCUAAGUUCUUGUAUACUAUAAUUGUAAUAUUCCCCUUUUUAUAUGGUAAAUAGAGUUCUAUUAUGUUUGUAUUGAGUUUUACUCUUUUAUAUUCUAUUAUAUUGUAUCCCUAUUAUUUGUACAUUGAUUUUUAUUGUUUCAUAUUAAUAUUGUAUGGUUUAGGCCUGUGUCUGUAAAGUGAUGUCAAGUAUCCAUUCCCAUCUUUUCCCAUCUUGUCCCCAUGCCUUGUUGUGUAAGUAUGUUGCAGUUCUGUAACCUCUCCCAUGUAAAUUGGUUUUCCUUGAAUGCCUGAAACAAAAGAGGAAAUGGAUGAGUGAAACACAAUGAUAGCAAGACCCCCUUUUAAAUCACCCCACCAUCCAAAGCAGUAUCUGGACCAUCGACCCAGCCAUUGGAACCCCCCUCAGCAUUCAAGACACAAAAGAGGAGGCAACCCACCAUUGUGCCAAGUCUGCACAUGCUCACUAUGAGCAUUUGGAAAAGACUGACAUUGCCUGGCCAGGCCCUCCCCAUAGGAGAUCAUAGGUAGUCUGCCCCAUAAGAACGGGUAGUGAAAACCGACUCUUGGGUACGCCAUCUUCACCUGGACCAGACCUGCUCCACGUCACGCUGCCUAUCAACCCAGAGACCCUCCAGCGACCCCCCCUCUGGACUACACCUGCUGGAGAAAGACCCUGACUGGCCAUUGAGGACUUGCUCCCAGCCUGGAUAGAUAGCUAUCACCCUCAUCCUGUCUUCAACCAAGGACUUAGACUCUGUUUCUCUUCCCUACCUGGACUCCAACCCUUCCACUCAGUCUCUUUCUCCUGCUACUAUUGUGCGAGUAUGUGUGGGAACCAAGCUGUACAAUAUGGUGUUCAUUUAAUGAAACUGUUAUUUGGA